UACAGAGGGUGCAAGCGUUGUUCGGAAUUAUUGGGCGUAAAGCGCAUGUAGGCGGCUUUGCAAGUCGGGUGUGAAAGCCCUCGGCUCAACCGAGGAAGUGCGUUCGAAACUGCAGAGCUUGAGUACCGGAGAGGGUGGCGGAAUUCCCCAAGUAGAGGUGAAAUUCGUAGAUAUGGGGGAGGAACACCGGUGGCGAAGGCG
rnacentral:rRNA from 1 species